AACAAGGCGUACCUGCGGACCUGCGGAGGGAUCAUUACAGAGUUCAUGCCCUCACGGGUAGAUCUCCCACCCUUGCGUAUUUAUACCUUUGUUGCUUUGGCAGGCCGCCUGGGCUCGCGCCUGGCCACCGGCUCCCGGGCUGGUGCGUGCCUGCCAGAGGAUCUCCAAACUCUAGUUAUCAGUGUUGUCUGAGUACUAUACAAUAGUUAAAACUUUUAACAACGGAUCUCAGAUCGGAAG
rnacentral:misc_RNA from 1 species